AAAACUUUCAACAAUGGAUCUCUUGGUUCCGGCAUCGAUGAAGAACGCAGCGAAAUGCGAUAACUAGUGUGAAUUGCAGAAUUCCGUGAAUCAUCGAGUCUUUGAACGCACAUUGCGCCCCCUGGUAUUCCGGGGGGCAUGCCUGUCCGAGCGUCAU
rnacentral:rRNA from 1 species